CCAUACCUGAAAUGAAAAGAAACUUGUCAAUAAACUGCAUGCGAUAAAUUUCAAGAAUUUUAAGGUUCUCAUGUCAUAGGAUGUAACGAUUAGAAAAAUAAAAAUAAUCUCAUUUUAUCAUUAUAUUAUUUCUUUCUAAAUAUUUUUCUUUCUCUCGAGUGAUUAAUUAGAAUUUUAAUUAAAAAAGAAAAAAGAAACGUUUGUAUCAAAAAUUAUUCAAUACCAUUUGCUAAUGAAAACGUAAUGAGAACACAUAAUUUCGAAAUUUUGCAAUCUUGAUGUUUCAAAUAUGAUAGGAUAUUAUAAAAUUUGAAUCUUUGUAUCAAUAUAAAAAAUUUUAAAAUUCAAAUUUCAUUCAUCAUAUGUUAAUCUUUUUCAUGAACUUGUUGCAAAAUUUCAUACAAAUAUAACUAAAUGCCUGCGAAGUUUAUGGAAUUAAAAGUGAUCUAUGAUUGCUAUUAUCGCAUACAGGAAUAUAUGUAUAUGAAUAUAAGAUACGAUUAUAAUACAAGGUCUAUAGAUCGGUUAAGAAAAACACAUUUGUUAUCCGUUAAUAUUUCAUAUGAAUCGUUUCUUAACGUGACUCUAAAAAUAAUUCAAUAUUAAAUUAAUCGUAAUAAUUCUCGACAUGUACGUUUUAUAUUACCACAUUAUUAAUCGCAAUAAAACUUAUCGUCUCGUAGAAUUAACUUUAAUCAACUUUGUGAGCAAUUGAAAUAAGAUAUCCAUAUAAUUAAUAUAAUUCUUGUACGUUGCGUUUCAAUAAUUUUAAUAUCUGUGAUUUACAAUGACCAAUUGUUUAUUUAUAAAGAUUUUUUCAUUCGCAUGUUUACACGGAAUAUGAAAUGUAAGACUAAAAAUAUUCUAUUCCUAAUAAUAAUAAUAUCUGGUAUUAUAUUUCACGUGCUCGAUAAAAUUCAACGAUAUUAAUAAUCGUGAUGUAAUAUUUAAUUAUGGAAUUAUCAAAAUUACCAUAUUGCCAUUUAUCUAAUCUAAACAUUUACAAAAACUAUUAAUUCUAAUUUUAUCUAACAUCUCUUAUGUUAAAAUAAGUGAAAUAUCUGAACGAGUAUAAUAAAAUAAAUAAAUUGUAUAGUAUUGCCUAAGUUUAUUGCGAACCUUAACGAUUGCGUGAAAUUCUAUUUUAACCUAAUCGAAAACCAGUUCAUAAAUCCAUCUUUACAGGAAUGUCCUUGAAAGUUGUAUGAUAUUAACUUUUUUUAAACUCUUUCUUAAUGAAUAUAAGAUUUAAUAGAAGAGGAAUAUAUAUAUAUAGAUAUAUAUAAUAGAAAUAAGAAUAUAACAGUAAAAUUCUUAUUUCUCUAUUUUUGAACAACUUGAAAACGUUGAGAUUAUUGAACACAUACACACGUACGAUGUUUGAAUAUUUGAAGAUAUAAAGAAACUUGUCAAUAACAAUUCUAUUUACAUAGAUAAUGAAGUGACUAAUUAUUUAUUUAUUAUUAUUUAUUGCUUCUCUUCCCACUUUUUCGUCAUCGAAAUGGAUAUGAUACGUAAGAUUAAUAAGGAUAGGACUAGGACUCUUGUAAUGCGAUGCUUCGCUUUCAGCGACACCUGUUCCGUUUGCAAAUAACUACGCAUAUGAUUACUUUUAAAUCGGUUCGAUAUUCUGUCCACGAGAACGAGUUUUUGAUUGACAAGAUUUAAAAUUCAUUAUAUGAACUUCCUCUGCCCGUGAACCUCGGAAGUUUCUUCGUUAAAAAUACGAUUAUUUAAGAUUUGGCAUAAGAUCGAUACUAUUCAUUUCAUAUAAUUUGAUAUAAUUGGAUGCCAGUUUGCAUAAUAUGCUUUACUCGUUAAUUUAUUUUUCAAAUGCAAACAUUUACAAUUACAUAACUAUCAUUAUAAAUUAUUAUUUUUUUUUGUAAAACACUUCUUUUUCCCGAUAUUACGGGAUUUUUCAUUUUUUUCAUUGGAUGGAAAAAAUUGCAUAUAUAAUCUGGUAUUUUUUAGAAUAUGUCAUGUUAAAUUAAUGAAUGAUAAAUAAUUAUAUAAGCAAUAAAAAUAUGAUUACAACACGGAGUAUAGAAAAAGAUUUGCACAGAAAUUUAUAUCUAGUCGAUAAAUAAAAAUUUUUAUAUUAGAAUAAUUAUAUUGUUUAUCUCUACGAAGAUUUUCUAAUGCAUUAAUAUUCCAACUGAUUUUUCGCAACAUUUCAACGCAUAAUUUAAAACUGUUUGAAAAAAUAGAAAGUAUUUCGAAUGAAACUAUCGAUUGUAUUAUUGUAUCGUGAUAUGUAAAUUAAACAAAUAACAAUAUUUCAGAAGAUAAAUAUCAUCAAUUUUAAUCUCGUUAAAUUCAUUUCAAUUCAAUUUCCUAUAUGAUAUUUCCAAUUGUUUAUUAUUAAAUAUUCCAAAUUAUAUAAAUAUGUUUAUAAUAAUUAACGAAUAAUUCUCUAAUCUUUAUAAUUAAUACGUAGAUCAAGAUUAAUAGAAAAUUAGUUUUAUAAUUAAUCAAUUAAUCAAUUAGUUUUAUAAUUGAUCAAAUAAUAUAAUGACCAGUGAUUCUGAACACGGAACAAAUAUGAAGAGAAUUGUUACGAAUAAAUUUUUGAUAAAAAGUUAACGAAAUAUGAAAAAAAACAUGUAAUAUAAUGAUGAAUAAAUUUUUUAUAAUCAGAUGAGAUACAAAGGAUAAUAUUGGAUUCAAAUUCUUAUCAGAUUUUUAUAUUCGAAAUGAAAGAGCGAGAUGUGUAUUUUAAGAAAUUAAGCAACACGUGCUCGAUUCGAUGAAUUCGUAUUCAGAGUCUGAGCACGAUUUAAAACACGACCAUGAAAUUCGAAUGUUCAUCAAGAAACGUGGAAUUGGGAUGAUUAUAAUCAUUUGUGACAUUGAUUGAAACGUUUUUCUUAUUCUAAUGUCCUUCUCAAUAAAGACACGAGGAUUUUGUGAAUAAUCAAAUAUUUUGAACAUGUAACGAAAUCAUUUUUCCAUCAUUUUCGAUAUUAAAAUGGAAUAAAAUUUAUUUCAUGUUUCUAAAUAUUUCUAUUAGGUUUCUAAAUAUUUCUUUAGUUUAAAUAAGCUUAGAUAUUUAAGCCAAGAAAUUAUGUAUAUUUUUAUCAUUUAUACAAGAAUUAAAUUUAAUUAAAUGGUACAUAAUUUUGCAUUUAAUAAAUAUAAAACGCCAACCUGAAAAAUGAAAUGAAUUAUGAUUAUAGUUGAAACUUCUGGAAAAUAUGUUAUCGCAGAUAAAAUCACGAAAUAUUAGCAUUGCAAAAUCAACGUUCAAGAAGAAAUUAUAUAUAAUUAUGACAUUAAAUUAUAGUCAUACAUAUCUAGUUGAAAUAUAUCUUAUAAGUAUCAGCACAUUUAAACAGUUUUAUAUCUUUGAUGAUAUAAUAUCAUCAAACCCAUCAAUAGAGAUUUUGAUUGCCUAUGUUUUAAAAGUUAUCUUGUUACAAUUCAAUUUUUGAACUUCCACCUAUAAACUCUUUGUAAACCUCUGUAAAAUCAUCUUUAAUUAAUUAAUUUGUUCUGAUUUCGACUUUAAUAAUAAUUGCAAUAUAUGCUCUAAUUUUAGAGAUCUAAAUCAAAAAAUUUCAACCAUCUUUUGAUCUUUUAAUCAAACUUGUACACUUUGAAAGAUAGAAGAGAUGCUUACCAGUCUUGUUAAUAUCCCAGACGACAACGAUAGCACCAAGAUUGGCCAACAUGAGGCUGAUUAGCCUUCCUAUACCACCAGCACCACCAGUCACCAGAAUGAUUUCCCCAGUGAUGCUUUUCAUUUUAUAUUUCAAUGGAAUCAAGGAUUUGAAUAUAUUUUUGAUGCUAAAUAUUACAGACCAAAAAAGGAAAAUAACGAAUGCCCCAGCAGCAACCAAGAAUGACACUAUGGGCAGUGGUUUUUGGACAGAAGGUAAUGUUGAAGUAGAGAUAAUUGAUCUUGGAAGAGGAACAGUUGGGGAUGGAGAAUCUUUAAAAUCCUUGAAAGCAGCAAUACUGUCUUCAUCUGGCACAAUUAUACAAAUUAAUUUACCAGUACAAACAUUUUUUGUUCCUUCAGCAAGUAAAUCACCUUUAUUUAAUUUAUCACCUGAAGAAUUUAUAAUAUUGAGGAUUAUUAAUGCAAUUUAUGGGAGAUAGAAUAAAUUAUUUAUAUAUUACCUUCCUUUUUGAGCCAGCUGACAAUAGUGCCUGUUUCCAUAGUAGAUGAUAAUACAGGAAAUUGUACAUGGAUUGGAUAAUCUGCAUAAAAUCUUAGCUGUUGCUUCCAUGGAAUUACCGAAAGGUAUAAAGUAUUAUGAAUCUGAAUUCUAAAUAUCAACAAAAAAAUAAUAUUAUAAUGUAAUAUUUCAUUUUAUUUUUCGAUCCUUAUCCUUAUUCUAAAAUACCAACCUAUAAUGCAUAUUUUAAAUGAAUAAAAAAGAAUAAAUUAAAUUUGGAUAAAAUUAUUAAAAAUAAAAUUUCUAUAAAAUUUUCAAUUAUAGAAUGAAUGACAUAAGCAAUAUUCAAGAUAAUCAGCAAUGUAAAUCUUGUUUAAAAAACAGAAAAACUUAAUUUCAUGAGUAAAUAUGAUAGUAACAUAAAAUGAAAUACCUUUGUAAAUAUUUUGUAUGAAGCCAUUGUAUAACUAUCGAUCUUACAAUAUUCAUGUUUACAGAACCUCGAAUAUAUGUAUAUAUCAAUUCAUUAAACAAAUAUUCAUUGUUAUUCGUAUCAUAUUUUUAUCAUUAGAGAAUCUUUUAUCUUUGAUUUUAAUAAAAAAUCAUUUGAUAUUUGCUCGAGUUUUUGCUUGAACAUUUCUAACAAUGUUCCAAGAAUUUCAAUGAUGUAUAAAUUAUUGUAAAAUAUGUCUAAAAAUCAAAUAUUAAAUUAAAGGUCGUUUACAAGGUCACAUUCAAAUUUAAAGAUAGUUUUUAAAAGAAAUUUUAUUGCAGAAAUCAUUUAUUAUUAUCAAUUAUGAAAUGGAGAGAAAAGAAGAAAAUGAAAAUAAAAAAUAGAAAUCGUUUUUUGUUUUUGAUCGAGUGAAAAUUUAUAUCAAGGUUUUCCAUCUUAUAAUAAAUUAUGUUAUUGAUGAAAUAAAGGGGAUACCGUGAUUCGUUAAAUCAAAGUAAUCUGAUUUAUACCUACUUCAGCGCUAAUCGAAGUGAUAUCGAAAAUAAAAGAAUUUAAUAUCUUAUCGAUAUUUAUUUCUUUGCAAAUUUUCAAACUUCUUUCGUUUUUUUUAAAUAAUUUUUUAUCUGAAAAACGUGCACAGAAAUUUUAGAAAUUGUAAAAAAAUUGUUUUCUCAAAAUAAAAAUAAUAAAAUAGUAAAUUAGCCGAUAUAAAUAAUUCUAUAAAUAAUUUUGAAAUUAUAAAUCAAAAUGCCUAAAGUCGAAAAAAGUUCACAUUUUGAAAUGCAAAUAUUUAUGAGGAGAAAUAUAAAACAGAUUACAAUCAAUUUCAAUUAAUUAAACGUAUAUUCAUAUUAUAUUAUAUUCACAUUAUAUAUUCAUAUUAUAUUCAUGUUAAUAUUAAUAAGUAAUAAAGUUUGUUUCAUUAUUUAAAAAUAAUUAAAAUUAUGUAAAAUUUAUUAUUUAAGAUAUAAUAAUGAUGUUCAAUAUUGAAA